rnacentral:rRNA from 1 species
UACGUAGGGUGCAAGCGUUAAUCGGAAUUACUGGGCGUAAAGCGUGCGCAGGCGGUUUUGUAAGUCUGUCGUGAAAUCCCCGGGCUCAACCUGGGAAUUGCGAUGGAGACUGCAAGGCUAGAAUCUGGCAGAGGGGGUAGAAUUCCACGUGUAGCAGUGAAAUGCGUAGAGAUGUGGAGGAACACCGAUGGCGAAGGCAGCCCCCUGGGUCAAGAUUGACGC